rnacentral:rRNA from 1 species
AUUGAACGCUGGCGGCAUGCCUUACACAUGCAAGUCGAACGGCAGCACGGGAGCAAUCCUGGUGGCGAGUGGCGAACGGGUGAGUAAUAUAUCGGAACGUGCCCAGUCGUGGGGGAUAACGUAGCGAAAGCUACGCUAAUACCGCAUACGAUCUAUGGAUGAAAGCGGGGGGAUCGCAAGACCUCGCGCGAUUGGAGCGGCCGAUAUCAGAUUAGGUAGUUGGUGAGGUAAAGGCUCACCAAGCCGACGAUCUGUAGCUGGUCUGAGAGGACGACCAGCCACACUGGGACUGAGACACGGCCCAGACUCCUACGGGAGGCAGCAGUGGGGAAUUUUGGACAAUGGGCGCAAGCCUGAUCCAGCAAUGCCGCGUGCAGGAUGAAGGCCUUC